rnacentral:lncRNA from 1 species
CAAAGCUGACUGGGAGACGCCACCUAGAUCAAGUCGAAAGCCUCGGUGCUAGGCGGCUCCUCUUUAACCACCUGCUCUUCUCCUGUGGGGGGGGUGUGAGACAGCAAGAGUGAGCUCACAUACGUUCAUAGCUCAACAAGUCGUGGGGAAUAAUGUGCAUGAACUCACCAAAGGUGGGAGUUCAUGUGAAGUGUAAGGCUGAUCAACCAAAUAAAGGUUGAAGCUGAGUAUUGCUUUUAUAAGUUGGUCAAAAUUUUAUUAGCAGUUACUAAGUGUAAGUGAAUACCAAACCUUAGUAAUAAUAAGUAAAAGUAAUAAUAAAAUAAUCCCAAAUGUGAUGCAAAUGACAAAUUGAGUUUUAAUUCCAUAUAUUAAUCAUGUGAGGGUCCGAGCUGCUCAUGACUGUGAGCACGGCUAGUAUACCAGUUUUACACUCUGCAGAGGUUGCGCAUCUUUACCCACAAGUCAUGUUACCCAUCUGCCAAGAGGCGGCCAAUCUCAUACACCUCUACCGAGGAGGCGAGGCAGGGUAACACUACGAGGCCUUUACAAAGUUUCACUAGCUUCAAAAAACCCGCUACAGUUUAUAGGAAGCUCGAGUGCAAGGAUCCCUCGCCUGACCGUCAUCGCAGCAAAAUCAACCCAAGGACCUCCCUACACUGACCACUCUCAUACUGCCCUUGCCCCUAUCGGGUAAGGUAGUCAUCCACUAGCUUUCCUAGUUAAUCAGCCAAGGGCAUCCCAUACUACCCUUGUGGUAGCACUAUUUUCCCAGGUGGUCGCUCCAUGUUCCCAUUAACAUAAUGAUCUUAACAUGAACAAUAAUAAUAAACAGAUAAUAAAAGUGUAAUCAUGAAUAGUGUAUCUCCAUACCCAAAACCACAUAAAGCAAUAGCAAAUACUACCCAAAAAUAUUUAGUAGCAAAACAAGGUAUAAAGAUAGCCAAAACUGGGAUAACCUAUUGGAUCCCAUCAAAAUUAACCUAUGCAGAUCAUAAUGAUUAAUAAGAACAUGGCUAGGUAAAAAUAAGUGAUCAAGGGCACAACUUGCCUUAAAUGAGCUCCUACUCAGCAACUUCUAUCUGCUAAACACCAGUAUCCUCAGUAGCUUGCUCGUCUACUCGCAUCAACACAAUACAUACAUAGUAUAGCAAAAAUUAACAUCACACCAAACAUAUAAAUAAAAUACACAAUAUUAAUCUACACAUUGAAAUAAGAUCCUAGGAACAGGAUUCAUUAAUUUUGGAGUUAUAGAUUUUAAAUCAUGAAUUUCCAAAGGUUUAAUGUGGUUGAUAUAUGAUUAAGUGAGAAAUUAAUUUUACUGUUGUGUUCAUGUCAAAACAUAGACUCUAGGUGAUAAACAAUAAUAUUACAAAAUUUUAGCAAUUGGAAUGAGUUAAUUUGGAGUUCAUAUGAAUUUUCUAUGAAUUUAGCAAGUUCUAGCAAUUAUUUAUAUAUUAAAAUCUAUUUUCUAUUUAUUUUCCUGGAUUUCUAACUCUCAUGGACUAGGCACGCAAAACCAGAGGAACUCAGGGGUCUUGGAGUAAACAUCUCUAAGACACAGAGACCCCACAGCACAGGACGGCGGGUUGAUUGACCAGAAACUGGGGGGCUCGGUUGUAAAUCGCACCCACGAAGGGGUAUGGGUGAUUCUCGGCCGUGGGAUCGCGCACCAACGGCUAUGAUUAGAUCGGGCCUGGCCCGAAGCGGUACGCGAUCACGGCCGUUCGAUUUGAGAUCUACGAUCCAAGCCGCAACCAUACUGUGGUCUAAUCGCUACCGCACGAUCCCAAUCAGACCACCCGAAUUUAAUGAAUCCAAAGGGUAGGCCAAAUCUGAUCCAUGACGUUCAUCAGAGAUCCUACGCUUCCCACUGUUAUGGCCCUUCGUCAAUUCUUAACCGUUCAUCCAGAGAUUGACGGCACCAAACGUACCGCCCUCUAUCACAAUUCACAACUCUCCCCCCGUCGAACACACCCGGCGGAGCUCCUCGCCCGCGGUGGCGCCAUGGCUGGAGAAGCUGCUGCGCGCCAUUUCGGCCCCCAAACUUAAAUCUGAUCGGUCCUACACGAUUGUGCCGAGGAAGCGAAGAGAUGGGAAUAGCUUUCUCUGAGAGCAUCCAGCACCUAAGUACUUGCCCCUAGCCCAGAUGCUCCGCGGCGGAGCAUCGAUGGCGAUGCCCAAUUACGCGCACCCCGACGACCGAUUACUGGUACGGAACGAUUCUACACAUGGCGGAGAAUGCUAAUUAGGGUUCUAGGGCUGGUGAUUUACCAGUGAUGAAGAGAAUCGUGGUCGAUGACAGCGGCGCCCGCGCUUGACUCCACGGCGACAGAGUGUUCCACGACGGCGCGAUGAAUGGCUCAGAGAUUUGGUGGCGAGAAG